AGGAAGCACAGACAUUUAGAAGGUCCCCGUACAACUCAUGCAAGAAUUUUAUUAACAACAAUUUCUAUUCACAUUUAGUCCCACUUUCCCCAGACAGAGCUGGAUGAUGGGAGAUGGCUGAAGGUUGUGCCUCCCAGAGGGAAAAAGCAAAGUUCACUUCACUACCCACUGCCCCAGGUGUUGAGGCUGACCAUGACUGAUCCUUCUGAAGCUGCCAGGAGCCCAGAGGGAGCCACAGCCUGCAGGAGACACCCCAAACAAGGGACACA